GUGGGGAAUCUUGCGCAAUGGGCGAAAGCCUGACGCAGCCAUGCCGCGUGAAUGAUGAAGGUCUUAGGAUUGUAAAAUUCUUUCACCGGGGACGAUAAUGACGGUACCCGGAGAAGAAGCUCCGGCUAACUUCGUGCCAGCAGCCGCGGUAAUACGAAGGGGGCUAGCGUUGCUCGGAAUUACUGGGCGUAAAGGGCGCGUAGGCGGACAGCUUAGUCAGAGGUGAAAGCCCAGGGCUCAACCUUGGAAUUGCCUUUGAUACUGGCUGUCUUGAGUUUGGGAGAGGUGAGUGGAACUCCGAGUGUAGAGGUGAAAUUCGUAGAUAUUCGGAAGAACACCAGUGGCGAAGGCGACUCACUGGCCCAAUACUGACGCUGAGGCGCGAAAGCGUUGGGAGCAAACAGGAUUAGAUACCCCGGUAGUCC
rnacentral:rRNA from 1 species